CGGGGCGUGGUGUAACGGCUAACAUAUGCGCUUUGGGAGCGUAGGACUCCCAGUUCGAAUCUGGGCGCCCCGA
rnacentral:tRNA from 1 species